UGCAAGUCGAGCGGAAACGAGUUAUCUGAACCUUCGGGGAACGAUAACGGCGUCGAGCGGCGGACGGGUGAGUAAUGCCUGGGAAAUUGCCCUGAUGUGGGGGAUAACUAUUGGAAACGAUAGCUAAUACCGCAUAACGUCUACGGACCAAAGAGGGGGACCUUCGGGCCUCUCGCUUCAGGAUAUGCCCAGGUGGGAUUAGCUAGUUGGUGAGGUAAUGGCUCACCAAGGCGACGAUCCCUAGCUGGUCUGAGAGGAUGAUCAGCCACACUGGAACUGAGACACGGUCCAGACUCCUACGGGAGGCAGCAGUGGGGAAUAUUGCACAAUGGGCGCAAGCCUGAUGCAGCCAUGCCGCGUGUAUGAAGAAGGCCUUCGGGUUGUAAAGUACUUUCAGUCGUGAGGAA
rnacentral:rRNA from 1 species